rnacentral:rRNA from 1 species
AUAUUGGUCAAUGGGCGCAAGCCUGAACCAGCCAUGCCGCGUGGAGGAUGACAGCCUUCUGGGUUGUAAACUUCUUUUAUAUGGGAAGAAAAGUACGGUAUCUACUGUAUCCGACGGUACCAUAUGAAUAAGCACCGGCUAACUCCGUGCCAGCAGCCGCGGUAAUACGGAGGGUGCAAGCGUUAUCCGGAUUUACUGGGUUUAAAGGGUACGUAGGCGGAAGAUUAAGUCAGUAGUGAAAGCCUCCCGCUCAACGGGAGAAUUGCUAUUGAUACUGAUUUUCUUGAAUAUAGUUGAAGUAGGCGGAAUACGACAUGUAGCGGUGAAAUGCAUAGAUAUGUCGUGGAACACCGAUCGCGAAGGCAGCUUACUAAGCUAUUAUUGACGCUGAUGUACGAAAGCGUGGGGAGCGAACAGG